AGCUUGUCGGUAGCCAAUAGCCUUUCCCUCAGGUUUUAGAAAUCCUGUCUCAACUCCCCUCAUUGCCGCAGCCUGAUGUUGUUAGUACUGGCAUGCAUGACCACCGUGUGCAGCUCCGGAUUUCAGUCUAGGAUGGCCGUAAGCUCCCGGUAAUGUCACACACCCUGGCUUCAGGGAAGCAGAAAGUCUUUGCCCCAACAACCACCACAUCCCGGACAAUGGAACUCCCGACGAUGGCUACCUUGGGAGGAGGGGUCGUGGAUUCCCAGAGCCAGAGAUCCUGGAUGGCUGAUGUAUGAAGGGGGCGUGGUUGGCUCAGCAACCCAGGAUCAGAGGUUGAGUGGGAAGGGCGUGGGGGGGCGGAGUAGGUCAUUUGACAGAGGGCCCCAGUGAAGUCAGGAGGCUCAGAGCCGAAAAACGGUUAGGGAGCCGUAGGUCUGAACGAGUGGGAGGGGGAAAAUUCAUUGGAAUCGUCCUCAUCUCUUCCUUCUAACUCGAUUCCACUUUACUUCUGAUGGUGUAGAAGAAAAUGCAGUAGAUCUCUGGUUCUUGUCGGUGGGAUGUGAAAGUGGUCCAAGGUAGUAUCCACAGUAGCUACUGCAGAGGAGCCCAAUCUCGUAGAGCACCCAGAAUUUCCCCUCGGUCAUUUAGAAUUGUCGCAUCAAAAAUAGCAUGCAGUCUUGAAGUCUCCUUAGCCAGAGCGUGAUGUUCUCUUAGGACCCUGUUCUCCUCUAGUAGCUCAAUGAUCCUGGCCCUUUGAGGCACGGAGCUGUUUGCGUUUAUCACAAGUAUAUAGGAGGGGUGCGUCACUUGAGUGGGUUGAGUCAAUGACGUGAUCUUCCUGACCGGGUUGGCGCCCCCCUCUUGCGUUGUGCCAUGGCGGAGAUCUUUGUGGGCUAUACUCGGCCUUGUCUCAGGAUGGACCUGAGCCCUAGGACCAUGCCUCGGGACUACCUGGCCUGGUGACUCCUUGCUGUCCCCAGUCCACCUGGCCGUGCUGCUUGCUCCAGUUUCAACUGUUCUGCCUGCGGCUAUGGAACCCUGACCUGUUCACCGGACAUGCUACCUGUCCCAGACCUGCUGUUUUCAACUCUCUAGAGACAGCAGGAGCGGUAGAGAUACUCUGAAUGAUCGGCUAUGAAAAGUCAACUGACAUUUACUCCUGAGGUGCUGACCUGUUGCACUCUCGACAUCCACUGUGAUUGUUAUUAUUUGACCCUGCUGGUCAUCUAUGAACAUUUGAACAUCUUGGCCAUGUUCUGUUACAAUCUCCACCCGGCACAGCCAGAAGAGGACUGGCCACCCAUCAUAGCCCAGUUUCUCUCUAGAUUUCUUCCUAGGUUCUGGCCUUUCUAGGGAGUUUUUCCUAGCCACCUUGCUUCUAGACCUGCUUUACUUGCUGUUUGGGGUUUUAGGCUGGGUUUCUGUACAGAACUUUGUGACAUCAGCUGAAGUAAGAAGGCAUUUAUAAAUACAGUACAUUUGAUUGAUUGACAAAAAAUUUUUUUUUAAUUGUCAUACUUGAGUAAAAGUAAAGAUACCUUCAUACAAAAUCAGUCAAGUAAAAGUGAAAGUCAUCCAGUAAAAUACUACUUGAGUAAAAGUCUAAAAGUAUUUGGUUUAAAAUAUACUUAAGCAUCAAAAGUAAAUGUAAUUGCUCACAUAUAUACUUAACUAUCAAAUUUUGAAACUAUUAUUUCAAAUGUCUUAUAUUAAGCAAACCAUUAUUAUAUAUUUUUUUAUAUUUUAAUUUAUGGAUAGCCAGGGACACACUCCAACACUCAGACAUAAUUCACAAAUAAAGCAUGUGUUUGGUGAGUCCGCCAGAUCAGUGGCAGUAGGGAUGACCAGGAAUGUUCUCUUGAUAAGUGCUAACAAUUCAUAAUGUUGCUUGUCAGGGAAAAUGUUUGUAGUAAAAAUGUGCAUUAUAGUAUAGUGAAGUAAAAGUUGUAAAGUACAGAUACCCCAAAAAACGACUCAAGUAGUACUUUCAAGUAUUUUUACUUAAAUACGUUACACCCCUUUUUACAAAUGUUGUAUUUUGGGUUCUGAUGGGGUACGACAGUUGAACUAAGCUCAUGAUACAUUUGCAUGUUAUAUUCUUUAAGAAUCAAUGGGUAUACCCUGAGUGUACAAAACAUGAAGAACUCCUUCCUAAUAUUGAGUUGCACCCACCCUUUUGCCCUCAGAAUAGCCUCAAUUUGUCAGAGCAUGGACUCUACAAGGUUUCGAAAGCGUUCCACAGGGAUGUUGGCCAAUGUUGACUCCAAUGCUUCCAAAUAGAUGUGUCAAGUUGGCUGGAUGUCCUUUGGGUGGUGGACCAUGCUUGAUAAACAUGGGAAACUGUUGUGUGUGAAAAACCAGGAAGAGUUGCAUUUCUUGAAAGACUCAAGCCGGUUUACUUUGCACCAACUACCAUACCCUGUUGAAAGGCACUUGAAUAUGUUGUCUUGCCCAUUCACCCUCUGAAUGGCACACAUACACAUUCCAUGUCUAAAGUUGCCUAAAGUUGUCUAAAGGCUUUAAAAUAAUUUUUGAACUUUACUUCUCCCCUUCAUCUACACUGAUUGAAGUGGAUUUAACAAGUGACAUCAAUAAGAGAUUAUAGGUUUCACCUAGAUUCACCUAGUCAGUCUAUGUCAUGGAAAGAGCAGGUGUCCUUAAUGUUUAGUACACUCAGUGUAUAUCAUUACUGUCACAUCCUGAUCUGUUUCACCGGUCUUUGUGCUUGUCUCCACACCCCUCCAGGUGUUGCCCAUCUUCCCCAUUAUCCCCAGUGUAUUUAUACCUGUGUUCUCUAUUUGUCUGUUGCCUGUUUGUGUUGUUCAUCAAGCCUAGCAGCGGUUUUCCCCUGGCUCCUGUGUGUUUCUAGUUCCUGUUUUCUAGUUUUCACAGUUUUGACCAUUCUGCCUGCCCUGAGCCUGCCUGCCGUUCUGUACCUUUAGGAAUGAUCUGGAUUACUGACCUCUGCCUGCUCUUGACCUGUCGUUUUGCCUGCCUGUGAAGCAGUAACAAAAGCGGAGGAUCGGACAGUGAGGAAACAGACAGGAUGUCCUGGUGCUCACCUCUCUUAGGGGCUUUCAUUUACAAUAUUAACAAGUUUACGAAUAAUUGGCCAAUAAACCUUGUACAGAAAAUAACAAAUGGGACAUUGACAAAGACUUGAAUAAAUCAAACAUAUUCUCAGUAUAAAUUAUUCCGGCAACAAAUCUUUGCCUACAACAAAGCACAGGUAUAACUCUGCUCUAGCCAACCUGUUGCCUGCUCUCCCCCAGGGAAAAGCCAAAUGAGCACCUAAGUACUCUUUCCAGGAACGCUCUUCAGCUAAGAAUGUUCCAUCAUGAUAGCCACAAAACACAUUUCUACCAUAAUGCAUAAUUUCCCAUGGACAUAUAUCAUAAACAACAGUUUUACAUAAACACACUCUUCAAUAACUUGUGCCAUAACUUCUACUUUAAGUCACACAAUACACAUUCAUGAAGUAAUUCACCGCCACAAUAAUUCAUCCCUUUUUGUUAUUCCCGGUAACCAAUAAAUGUUCCUUGAUGACUCAUAGACUAAUUUGCCUCAUGCAUGCUUAAUGCACACCGACACUUCAACAAGGAAACAGCACGGCGCUUCAGACAAACAGAGGUAGGUUAAAUUAUAUGGUUAUACUCUACUAAUACUUCAAUUGUUAUUCUAAUAAUACAUUUCACAAUGCUAGAGCAUGUACAUUUAAAUGGGCAGCUUUAUACACAGUAGAAACAUUGUUAGCAAGUUACAUUGUUUUAGUAACUGGCGUGCGCAAAACAAACAUUAGACUUUGGCGCAGUAUUGUUGGCAAAUGGAAUGUGCUACUCAAUCCAACAUUCGCUUUGGUUUCAGGAUUCUUGGCUAUACCUUGAAGAGAUACAAUAAAGAGUCUUCCUUCAACCAAUAAUUUGUUUCAGUGUCAUUGUCUACAAGUCAUGGACAUGCGCUCCGUGAUACUGCCCGUGUUCCAGUAAUAAACUUUUGUUACUUCGACACUGUCUGCAUCUGGGUUUUCCCUGAAAUGCAUGAGCACUAACUGGCCAUGACUGACCCAGCAGACUCUGACCAGCUCCACAACGCCAUCUACUCCCAAGGAGCCAACAUUGGAAGGAACGAGGGUUCCAGACCUUGGCUGAACGGCAUGACUGAGCGUUUGAAGACAUUGCUGGAGCAAUUCCGCGGGUUGUCUGUUAGGCAGCCUACCGCAAGAUGGCG
ensembl:lncRNA